rnacentral:lncRNA from 1 species
GGCCGUCAGCGUGCUCUCCUGUGCCUCCUACAGGAACCAGGUCUCCCACGUGUUCCUCCGGCCCACCAUGCUGGCUGUGGCCAUGCACACCGCAGCCUCCUUCAAGAAGGGACUUUGAGGUGCCGGGUUACCUGCUGGUGAAGACUGGUGCUGUUCAGAUGCUGCAGCAGGACAUAGUGAUGACAGACAGAGGUCAGCCCCUACUUACCUUCUUCAAUGGCUUGCUGGAACCAUUCCUUUAACUCUACCAGGAGAAAAUGUCCCACUCAGAAAGCUGUCCAUGCUCGACUGUAAUUCAUUCACUUCGUGGGCCAAUGAAAACUCUGGAGAGUAAACUCUGCCUUCAUUACCAUAAUGCCACAUUUUCCAGGAGAGCAAAGCUUAGCCAACUACAAAGGCUGUUUGUCAUCGUUUUUUAAAAGGGACUUCACAGGGCUACCAUCUGGGACACUUUUCAUACACACAAGCUCUUCGAAUUUUGUAUAUGACAACGCUUGAAUAAUUUCUGGAGGUUGCCAACCAAAUUGCCAACCAAAAUGUUUGCCUGCACUACAGAUGGUUAUAUCGGGCCGCUAAUACAGGACUAGUAAAGGCCCAGUGCACUACUUUAGGGGGGAAAAAUAUAUAUUUGUUUUAUUCAGAUUUUUCAGGGGGUGCUGCAGAACCCUCAGAACCCCUACUCUCGUGGCUAUGGGUGGUGUGGACCUCUCCCUUUCUCCUCCACUGGGAUCAUUGCCUUUGUAUGUGUUUAUCGGGGAAACCGUUGUUCCAAAAGUUGGUCGGAUCAUGUUGUUUAUGGACCCAAUUGAGGAUACCAGCCUAUUAAGAUAAAGUAAACACUGGCUAGAUAAGAAAUUGUAUUUACUAUUUUAUUAUUUUAGAAAAACAGAUUUGGAAUAAGUGACACCCCCUCUUGUGAUCAAAGCCAAAAGGUUUGUGAUGAUUUCAUCAGAUAUGCUGAGGGGAAAUAUCCAAACAUGUUCCAUGAGAGCCAUAUGUUGUUUACAUCUGUUUUAUACACAUAGGCAGCAUUACAUAUCCAACUGCUAUGGUUCUGUAGCAUCAUUGUUACAUCAUUGUUACUCUGAUAUAUGACGACUAUUGUGUAAUACUCAAUUACAAUUUAGGACCUAAGAUCACACAGGUAACCCGACCACUGAGGAUUUGUCAUAUUCUCUACUGCCUGUUUCUAAACUGUUUUGAUAUGACUGUGUUUAAACUGCAGAUUUGACAAAAACAGGAAGAAUAUUACCAUGGUCUCUGUUACAAAUAUCUUUGUUACCAAGUCCAGCAGAUGCAUGGACUCCUGGUUUCCUGCCAAAGUAUAUAUUUACAUGUUACAG